CUAUGAAUGCGCUGGCCCGCGAGGGUGCCAUCAGUAUGAGGUCUUCGACCAAUCCGAUGAAGAUUUUGGGCAUGAGAUUUUUAAGGUCAAAGACCUUGUGGUGAAGGACGCAGGGGGGGCCCUCUUCGACCGGAUGUGGGGCCCUCACGGUCGGGAGGCGGUUAGGGAACGGGCUGACCGGGCGAGUGUCACACCCGGGUUUCGAGGCACCAAGACCCGGGCGCGAACAUAAUCACCACGUGUGCUGGGACCAAGUCUCACACAUAUGAUGAAUCAUGGCACAGGAUCGAAUGUCACAUCUUUACUAUAUAACAGGAGUUCUAUACAAAAUAAAUAAUUACAUUAUAAGGAGACAACGGUCCAGCAACCCAAAGUUGACUGGGAGACGAUGGCCUAGACCUCUCACGAACUCGUCACAGCAUCCUCCAUGCGCCUCAUCCUGUGGUACCUGUUCUUGACCUGUGGGGGGGUGUGAGACAGCAAGAGUGAGCUCACAUACGUUCAUAGAUCAACAAGUUGUGGGGAAUAAUGUGCAUGAACUCGCCAAAGGCGGGAGCUCUCAUGAAGUGUAAGACUUACCAAAGAGGAUGGUUAGAGCUGAGCAUUGCUUUUAAAGUUGGUCAAAAUUUUAUUAGCAGUUACUAAGUAUAAGUAAAUACCAACCCAGUUAAAUAGUAGAACAAAAGUAACAACAUCACCUGCGAUGCAAUGCAUAUGACAAAUUGAAUUUAGUUCCAUAAUUUAAUCAUGUGAGUGUUCGAGCUGCUCAUGACCGUGAGCACGGCUAGUAUACCAGUUUUAUACUCUGUAGAGGUUGCGCAUCUUUACCCACAAGUCAUGUUACCCAUCUGCCAAGAGACGGCCAAUCCCAUACACCUCUACCGAGGAGGCGAGGCAGGGUAACACUACGAGGCCUUUACAAAGUUCCACUAGCUUCAGAAAACCCGCUACAGUUUAUAGGAAGCUCCAAUGCAGGAAUCCCUCGCAUGACCACCAUCGCAGCAAAAUCAUCCCAAGGGCCUCCCUACACUUACCACUCCCCUACUGCCCUUGCCCCUUUCGGGUAAGGUAGUCAUCCACUAGCUUUCCUAAUUAAUCAGCCAAGGGCGUCCCAUUAAACCCUUGUGGUAGCACUGUUUUCCCGGGUGGUUCUCCAUGUUCCAAUUAACAUAAUGAUCUUAUCAUGAACAGUAAAUAACAACUUAUAACAAAAGUGUAAUCAUGAAUAAUGUAUCUCCAUACCUAGAACCACAUAUAGCACUAGCAAGUACUACCCAGAAAGUUCAGUGGUAAACAAGGUAUAAAGAUAGACAAACUAGGGUAUCCUAUUGGGUCCCAUCAAAAUUAACCUAUGCAGAUCAUUAUGAUUAAUUAGAACAUGAGUGGGUAAAAAGAAGUGAUCAAGGGCACAACUUGCCUGGGACUUGAGAUUCCAGGUACCAGGAUGAUUCUUCAGAUCCUCGUGACCUCACUGCUAAUCGUAGCAAUACAAACAAACAUGGUAUAGGCAAAAUAAACAUCACACCAAACAUAAGAACAAACUACGUAAUAAUACUCUACGCGUCUCUACGAGAUCGUGGGAUGAGAACCGCUAAAUUCGGGGUUACGGUUGUGAAGUUAUGGUUUUCCGAAGAUCCAUGUGGUUAAGUAUAGAAUAGACUAAGUGCAACAUUUUAACCUAUAUUUCAUGACAAAACAAAGUUACCAGAUGAUAAUAAAUAUUAUUAUGAGACUAAUGCAACUAGAAUGGAUCAAAACGGAGUUACAGUUAUUGAGUUAUGAAUUUCCAAAGUUAAUAAGUACUUGGCACGAAAUAAAUUAAGUAAACAAUUUUAAUCUAUGUUUCAUGUCUAAAUAGAGUCACUAGGUGAUAAACAAUAUUAAAACAAAAUUAAUACAACUUGAAUGAAUCAAAAAGGAGUUAAAAUAAAUUUUCUAUGAAUUAAACAAGAUCCUAGAAUUAUUUUUAUACUAAAAAAUCAUUUUCUUUAUUAGUUUUACCAAUUAUAUUAACCUUUGGACCGCGGCCACUAAUACCAGAGAGCGCAGGGUGUUUCUUAUAAAAUUUGGGGCUAAACCGCGAGACUCUUCCUAUAGCCCCAGACGGCGGGUUAAUUGUGGCAAAGAGCAGGGGCACUUUUGUAAGACUUCCCGGUCGAAGGGGUAUCCCGCACUCAGAGCCGCCCGAUCCAGAUCCGGCGGCCCAGAUUAGAUCGUGCUUUAAAUGAAACGGUAUGCAAUACGAGCCCUUGGAUCCGAGAUCAGCGGUCGUGGUUUAAUGAAACGAGAUCGAAUCUGGGUCACGGGAUCCUGAUUGAACGACCCAAGAUGAUCCCACCGAAGGGGUCUACUACUUCUAAUCUAACCCGUUCGUCCAAGAUCCUUCGGUAGACACCCCCCCAAUCCCAGCUGCUCAGUGCACAUCCAACGAUAGAGCCACGCCCUCCCCAACCAGAGCCGAGACGCGGCGGCGGCGUUCUGUCCCUCUAGCGGAGAAGUGCCUCCACGGCGGAGCUGUCGCCGGAGAAGGCGAUGUUGCGCCCCCGUAACCCAAACCUCGACAAAAACAUGUUAUGCAAAAGAGGAGUUCACAAGGAACAGAAUGAAGGGCUCCCUACCCAAAGCCGAUGCAUGGAGAUCCAUGGCCGCGGAAGUAGCAGCGGGCGGCGGAGGAAACAAUCCGAUGAAAAAUAUCCAGGCUCCGGUGGAUUUCCCCGCGUCCGAGAAGGCCACGAGCAUGCCUCUGGGUCCCGGCGCGGCACCCAGAAGCUUCUACCAGAGCAGGACGCGGCCCGCGACAGCGCUAAUGGCGUUGAUGAAGAAUCCCUUUUACUCUAGUGUCCCAGAUUGCCUCCGUGAAGCCCGGUGAUGCUUAACGGUGACGCGUCAACGGCCGAGCGAUGGCGUGUCGUCGUAAAGCCUAGUGUGUCGAGCUUGGAUUCUCUGCUCUUCCACACUCGUCUUCCUUGUUUCUCUGUCCGAGCAUUGGGGAUGUCGACGAAGACGCUGGCCCAUGAUGACCAGUGGAUUCAUGGCGCCGAAGGGACCUUGGUGAGCAAUCCACCCGCCCGAGAUGAUCCUCUAGACUGGACUAAGCCAUGUGCACAUCCGCCAUGUUUGGGCGAGUCACCACGGCUGCUUCACAGAGGCUCGUCGACAACCAAGGCGCGGGUCGACGCCGGCUACUUCACUCUCUGCCUUCUUUUGCUUGGCGGUAGGGCUCUCGGUGCUUGUUAGUGGGUUGGACGAAGAGGGGGAGGCGAGCUCGGUACUUAUAGCUUGGGAAAAUUCCGAAUCCCAACCACCCAGUCAAUCCCGGCGGCGACGGAAACGUAGCUCCGCGAAGAGGAUAAGCCUGACAUGUGGGGCCCGCAGAGCAGCUACCUGACACGCGCGCAUUAUGGUGCUGAGACGCUGACGAGAAGGGCCCGCCAUGCUUCCACUGCGCGCGCGGACACCAGUUGAAGCCACCGCCAUGUGGGUCCCGCAGGCAGAGGCAGGACGCGGUGGGCUGGCGAGAAAUAAAAGAGGGAGAUGGGUCGAGAGUGGAAGAGAGUUGGGCUGUGAUAGGGGGAAAUCGGCCCAAGGCUGCUCAGUGAGCUUUUCUUUUUUUCCCUUUUUUUGUUUUAUUUUCUAUUUUAUUUCCUGUUUUCUAUUGCAAUUCAAAUCCAGGUUUAAAUUUCAAAUUUUUAAAUUAUAUGCACAAACAAACUCCAACAUGAUGCAGGUAUAAUUUAUAUUAAUUUUAUUCAUUUAUUCAUGCAAAGAAAAAAUGAUCCAAUUAUGCAACCCACACAAUAAUUUUCCCAUAAGUUAUUAUAUUUUUUAAGGAGUGCAUUUGUAUGUAGUUCAUAAAGAGAAUAUAUAAAAUUCUUCCUUGUGUUUAUGGUUCCAAGCUUUUAGUUUUUUUUAGAAUAACAUUUAAAAAUUGAGGAUUCUUAUAUUAAAAUACAUUUUAACCCUAAACCUUAUAAAGAAAUAUUUAUAAAUCUUAGAAUAGGAUUUUGGUCAUUACAAAUCCUACCCCACUUAACAGAAAUCUCGUCCUCGAGAUUUGUAAGGACAGGGAUGUAAAAAGCUUUAUUUAUAGUUUAGCCUUUAACUUAUAAUUAGUUUAGGAAUUAAGAAGUUUCAUGUUAUUUAGAUAGUGGUUAUGAAAGCAUGGGUAUGUAUAUCCACUCUAUUGUGUAUGGUAAAAGAUGUCUUUAAAGCAUAGAGAGGUUUGGUUAAGAAAGGGUAGGGUGAGGAAAGACUCUAUCCAAGAUUAUGGAUCUUGAUUCCUUUUGAAGAUCUGGCUUGAAUCUUUUCCUUCCUCGAUUUGAUGAAGUCGAUCAUCUUCGAUCUUCGUUCUUGAAGUCUUUAUCCGAAUUAGGGACAUGUAGUUAGGAUAACUUGUAGGUAAGGACAGAUGGUUAACAGGUUGGUGGCAUAAGAUAAGUGUAUUAUGGCAACAUCUAGGAUGGGAUGGAUGGUCACCAUGAGUAUGCUGGUAGGUUAUUUGUUCAUGGGUGGUUUGGUCUGAUGUACUAAUUUAAGUUAAAACAUGGCCAGAGGGUCUAAUCUAUUUCACUAGUAUUAACUAUUCCUGUUAAGUGACUUCCAAUAGGCUUGAUCAUAAUAAAUUAGGUAGGAUUGGGUAUGACUAGAAUAGACUAGAUAAGAUCUUAUUAAUUAGAUCAUGGUUGCUACAAUAGUGUGGAAUAAAUAUGCUUAUUAGGGCAAGAUUAAUCCAUAAGGAUAAGGUAGAAUCUUUUGAGGUCAGUUAGAUCUAUUAGGGUGACAUAAGAUCUUUUCAAGAUAAGUUGAGUAUCUUUUAAGAUAAGAUGAAUCUAUAAGGAUAGAAUCUUUUAAGAUGAGAUGGAUAUUGUUAGGCUAGAUACUUUAUUGAGGGAUAAUCUAGUUUAUUUUUUUAAUAGUAUUUUUUUAUUCCUAUAUGUAGAUGUAAUUGUGGAUAUUACUCCACAACCCAUCACACUCAAUCAAAAAUCCAAAUCAUACAAGUAUCAUAAGAACAAACAUUCAGGUUCGUAAAUAUCUAUAUAAAAAAUUAAGUUUGUUUUUGUUCCUAAGAGUAGGUCUCCUAUUCCUAAAGGUCACUUUAGGCACAGGAUUUCAAAGUGUAAAAUCCACAUUUGUCUUUAGAAAAGAAAAGGUAAGAAUAACCAGAGUAAAGCGGAAAUAGAUGAGAAAAGAUUAAGAAAAGUUUAGAAAGAAUCAGAGUGGCAAAGGUAAGUAAGAAUUGGUUGUCCAGUUCUAUCUAGGUUUCGUCCUACAGUCAACAUCGCUCUGAUACCACUUCUGUCACACCCGGGUUUCGAGGCACCAAGACCCGGGCGCGAACAUAAUCACCAGGUGUGCUGGGACCAAGUCUCACACAUAUAAUGAAUCAUGGCACAGGAUCGAAUGUCACAUCUUUACUAUAUAACAGGAGUUCUAUACAAAAUAAAUAAUUACAUUAUAAGGAGACAACGGUCCAGCAACCCAAAGUUGACUGGGAGACGACGACCUAGACCUCUCACGAACUCGUCACAGCAUCCUCCAUGCGCCUCAUCCUGUGGUACCUGUUCUUGACCUGUGGGGGUGUGAGACAGCAAGAGUGAGCUCACAUACGUUCAUAGCUGAACAAGUUGUGGGGAAUAAUGUGCAUGAACUCGCCAAAGGCGGGAGCUCUCAUGAAGUGUAAGGCUUACCAAAGAGGAUGGUUAGAGCUGAGCAUUGCUUUUAAAGUUGGUCAAAAUUUUAUUAGCAGUUACUAAGUAUAAGUAAAUACCAACCCCGUUAAAUAGUAGAACAAAAGUAACAACAUCACCUGCGAUGCAAUGCAUAUGACAAAUUGAAUUUAGUUCCAUAAUUUAAUCAUGUGAGUGUCCGAGCUGCU
rnacentral:lncRNA from 1 species